UGAAAGCUCUUAAAAUAUUUGAUGAUUACAUUUCUCAAAAACAGGUUAUAGGCUACAUGUGCACUACCAAGUCAGAACAGUAGUCGAAAUUAAUAGGUGAAAAUAGACCAAAUUAUUAUGGCGAGUCACAUGGGAUACUAACAGCGUACAACUCAACAUACACUUAGUAUUACUUUCUUAGCUACAGUAUACAUAUCUCCCUGGCAUAUUACAUCAUUUAUGCAGCAGCAUAUAGUACAUUUUUGUGGGCAAACUUUGUCAUCAAAGACUGGCAUUGUCUGGAUUGAUGGUGCUUUCAAGACAACUGGAAACUGAAAAAAAGAUUGACUCGUGAUGACGUCAGUGAUCUUCAGGUAGUAGCUCUAGAAAGAGGCCCAAGUUCCGAAUUUACAAUUCCGAGUUGGAUGAAAGUUCAAAACAUUUCUUCCUAGUCGCAGCUCGUUUUUCCCGAGUUCCCAGUUGUCUUGAACUCACUAAAGUCAGAUUUUGCAGUUCCGAGUUAACGAUUGUUUUGAGCACGGCACAAAUCAUGCUUCAUUAACAGCAUGGCCAAUGUUGAAUGUUAUAAUUUUUAACAAUGAAAAGAGACCCUUAAUCUUAGACUUGGGACCACACAGCCACUCCACUGAAUAGCAGGCUAAUGAUUGCUUUGCAAUGCUUGCAGUUAGCAACAAUGUAGAUGUGUGAUUGGAUGUAAUUUUAUCUGUUGCCAAUGACCUUGAGCCUUCUUGGAUGGGCACUUCUAAUGUAAGUCUAUGGCAUUUUCUAGCUCUACCCUUAGACUUGGAUGUGACGUAGUGUCCCCAUGAGUGACAGAACACUGAGCCAAUCACGGCGCAAUGCUCUGUAUUUUCCGCUGGCUUGCCCCACCACCACAGAAAGCACUGAGCUAGGCUGAAACAGCUGCAUUUUGGAGCUGCCUUACUCAAGAAUAGAAAAAAAGAGACCAUGUUUUUAUGCGGCUUUAUUACCUCAAAUUAUAUAUAUUUGUAAAAAUUCAAACUGAUAUGUGACAUGUAUUAAUGCCAAAAUAACAUGCAAAUAACAUGCGAAACAAAAGCCCCACCUGCCCUGAACGACGGGUCACCACUGGUUGUCUGCAGCAUUCGAACAGCUCAAUCAGCUGUUCAAUUUCACUUUCCAGCAUGUCAACUUAGCCAGGAUCACAGUCAAAAGUAUUUUGCCGAUUCAGUCAGUCAUCUGUAGAAUUGUUUUGUAUUUCCCCUGCAUGCUUACAUUCAGUUUGUUCACAUUGGCAAGGAGAAACAUUUUCUUUUCAUAAACACAGAACAUUUUUUACAUCCAUUACACCACCGCCACCAGCCUGUAACGUUGACACCAGGCAUGACGUGGCCAGGUGGGUUGGGCCUCUUUGUAUAUAAGGAGAGAGCAGCAUUUUCUUGUGUUUAUCUACAAAGCACUCAUGCAGAAACUUCCUUUGCAUCUAUCAUCAUUAAUUAAAUUUAGACAUAAGAAAUGAUCCAACCCGGUCUCAGGCUUGGAUAACACUGGAGGCCCCUUUGGUCUCCAGAGUUGGGUAAAGCUGCUUUUAGUUUUUUUGCACCCUUUAUGUGGAACAACUCUGAUGAGGUGUUCUGGUCCCCCUUGAUCAGUUCAGAGUAAUGAUCAGAGACCUCUGUUGGUAAAUGUGUCUGGUUUUCUGAAUAUGUUUUGUAAUUGUGUUUGUAAAAGAGACCCUAGUGUCAGUAAUAUUUCCCUGUCAAAAUAAAGGUUAAAGAAAACAGAAAAAUGGACUGCAUACGCCAAGUCCUGACACAACAGGAACCGGGAUUUGUCAGACCAGGCGAUGUUUUUCCAGUCUUGGUCCAGUCUUGGUGAUGGCAUGCCCACUGGUGCCCCUUCUUCUUGUUGUUAGCUGAUGGGAGUGGUUGUCUGCUGCAAUAGUCCAAAAAUAUUUCCACUUGUCAUUGUUCUUUAUUGUAGUAACGCUAAUGUUAGAGAUUGAAGAUAUUUGCCAUGCAAUUCAGCUGAAGUAACGUAGCAAACGCUUUUAUUGCUUAUUGUGUAGUGGUGGAGGAUAAAAAGACCUGUAUGGAUGUGUAUAGCCAAUCUGUGUAUGGACCCUAAAACGUUUGGUAUUUAUAUAGUUCAGAACAGUGGUUUUAAUUGUUCUACAAUGCUUCCACUGGUUAAUCAUUAAUCCUCAAGAAAUUGAAGAAAAAGUGAAGGAAACGCGACUGUUACAUGUCAAGCUGCUAUUAUGGUAUGAAAGUCCUGCUUCAAGAGUAUUACUCCACAUUGAACCACAGCCAGAGGAUGGGUAUAUUACAAGCACAUAGUUGUUUUUCUGUUCUCAUGGAUCAUCCUCAUAUGGUACGUAUUUGUUGCAUGAUAAAUAUAAGGAAAGCCAUUACUAGUGAUGGGACGACUGAUAUCAGAGCUCCGACACAGUUUUCAAAGCACUACUGAUUCGAUACAACAUCGUGAUGCUUGUAUCAAAGUAACAUCCGCACCUCAAUAUUGUCAACAGGGGUUAUGUCUGCAUAAUGAGACAGUAGGGAAAAAUGAAAACUAUUUCUGGUCUAGUGAUCGAUAGAAAACGAGCUCGCUUCCCAGACUUACAUAAUUACAAAGAGGAGAUUCUCCUGAUUAAAAUAGUGUCUGACUUGAAAAAAUCUAAAUAUACACAUUGUGAGAUACUUGGCGAAAUAGACCGGCAUGCCUCUCAAUAGGAAAACAAUGGGGGGGAGCUCAGCGUUCCAAGGGCAAAAGGUAUUUUGGGGCUAACAUUUGAUGACAUCUAAGCUCACUCACCAGACUUACAUAAUUAGAAAGAUAGGAUUAUCAUGAUUAAAAUGGCAUCUGAAAAAUCCAAAUAUACACAUUGCGAGAUAUUUGGCGAAAUAGACAGACAUGCCAAUAUUUGCCCAAUAGGAAACAAUAGGCCGACCUCAGAGUUCCAUCAGUAGAUUUUUGUCGUUAUUUACAUUUGAACUAUAAACAAUGUGAGCAGGUCUCAUUGCCAGCAAUAGCGAAGCAGGUAUUGGGAACUAGAACAAUGGGCUGGGAAUGGAACGAUCGGAAGGCGAGUUGGUGCCACGGUACUCAAUAGAACUAAUAGGAGCUGGCAAGGUGAAAAAUGCACUAAAAGAAGGCCUGUUUUUUCGUGAUUACUUCAAAACGACGGCAAGCAGUUGGGAAAUAUGGUCAUAUUAUGAAACUGGGCUUCACGGCGGAUGCCGUGGCGUUGUUAAAAAUGUAAUGUGUCCAGCCUACUAGUGUAUGACAGCUAGCAAAUUAAUUAGCUAACUAUCGUUAGUCUGCCUAGCUACUUCUGAAGAAGGAACAUUUCUACAAUUUCCAAAAGCUGAUCAAACAAAAAUAUAAUUAUUUUUACAAGAUGUGUUUGUGUAGUAGUAGCACACUUCCUAACUUAUUUACAUUCGUUUUUACUUACACUUUUAUGUUGACUCCAUGUUUAGGUUUUAAGUUUUAGUGGACUUUUAUUAGCGGAUAUACAAUCAUCGCUAAUUGAAAAGUUGGGGCAUUUCAGGCUCCGAAGUGAACAUAAUUGUACACUCGCAAACUCCACAUUUAAAACAAGGGCUGAGGGGCUUACGUUGCAAACUUCCCUUGCUUGGCUCAUCAAUUGGACUGACAACAAAUAUGGCCGCGGUGAUUCCCAAAAGGACAUAAGGCGAGGACCAGGGUGUGUCUUUUAUGACUUUGAAACGCAGCCACUGAGUUAGCAAGCUAGAUAGUGUGUCACAGAAAUGUACUUUCAGCCUACCGAGGUAAAGACAGUUUCAGGUUGGAUAUUCAACGGAUAUUCGCCUGUAGUUUUCCUUAUGUCCACCAACAGCAGUUAGGGACCGUCAACAUAGUGACAAAUCCAUUUUUUCAAAUGUCAAUAGCUCUUUAACCAUUACCCCUAAAACGUUUGAAACUGGUUGCAGCUAACCCAAUGGCAUCGACACACAUUGCACAUACUUUUUUUUGUCGAUUUACAUCUCGCACUAUUUUAAAUUAUUGUGUUCAUGGAAAACUGUUUAAAACUAUAUUUCACAGUUGCAGCAUGCUAUAAAUUGGCUCAUGGUGUCCUUAUCAUCUCUCCUACCAGUAAUGUACAAGAUUUUGCUUUCAAAUUGCGUCAAACAUGAUUUUUGACUAUGUUCAUGGAAAACUGUUAAAAAUGUUUGAAUUUCAAUAGCUCUUUAGUCAUAUGACCUACUGACUUCAAGCAAGGUUCAGAAUGUCCACUGACUACCCUUAUAGUCAGUUGACCAUUGUACUGGAUCUAAUACAUAUUAGCAUUUUACAUACAUUCAUAAGUGUAAUAAUUUUUUAGGACAUACUGUGAAAAACUCUUGGCUGCUGGCUCUAUCACUUUCAGACAUGCGCAGAGCAGACUGAAAGGGGAAGGGUAGCUCUUGACUUGAACCACAGGGGUUCUCUGUAAAGAGAGAGUAAUCCAAAAGGCACAGACAAAACCCUUGACUUUCAAUUGGCACUGUUGACCUGUACGUAUUCUCUCCUGAUUGGCUCUGUGGUGCACAGUCUGUCAGUCUGACUAAAUUGCCAGAGGUAUGAGGAGAGACAUCCUCCUUUGUAUUUAUGGGAACAAAUAUUUCCUAACACUUUGGAUCCUAUUCUUGGACAGUUAGACACAAUGCAUCAAUGCAACAAAAAAAAUGUAUUACUAAUUACUGUCCACGAGUAACCUCAACCUUGUGUGUCUGUGGGUGUUUGGGCCAAUAAAGUGCCAACUCAAUUCUACCACUGACUAGUCUCUCAUUCCCCUAUGAACGGGGACACAGGGCAAUAGUUUUUAAUCUAAACCAGCCCUUCUUUACUGGAGUACACUAACCCCUAAUUGGGGCUUUUUUAUUGACACACAGUAGCAGUUUACCAGAUAAGAAGUCAAGAAGAUCAAAAAGUAGAUUGUUGUAAGGGUGUAGUACGUCCUGUGCUGGUCCCAUUGUCAUAUCCAUUCUGGAUUCUGACUGGUAAAAUCAUAGCUGAAAAAUGCCUUUGUAUGUGUUUACUGUAUGUGUUUACUGUAUGUGUAUACUGUAUGUGUAUACUGUAUGUGUAUACUGUAUGUGUUUUAUGUAUGUGUAUACUGUAUGUGUAUACUGUAUGUGUUUUAUGUAUGAGUAUACUGUAUGUGUAUACUGUAUGUGUAUACUGUAGGAGUAUACUGUAUGUGUAUACUGUAUGUGUUUACUGUAUGUGUGUACUGUAUGUGUUUUAUUUACGUCCUAACAUGGAAUAUUCAUCAACUGCAUAUAUCAUAAAUUGCUAUUGCAAAUAGAAGUAUUAAGUUCAACAACUGACAUUUUCAGUUAUCAUUUUGACAAACACACUUUAACACACUUUGGUUCUUACAAUUCAUUCUCUAUCGUCAUAGAUUUGGUGGGCACUGUCAUCUGUGAUAUGACUUUCUUUAAGCACGUACAGAUGAAACUGUCACUUAAUAUUUUUUUCUUAAAGUCUACAAACGCUCAACAUUUAUUCACUCUGUGAUAGGGUUGGAUACUAUAUGCUACUUUUAUUAUUCUCCUGUAAAUGGUUCAGUGCCAAUCAUUUAGGCUGUGUGUAGAAUGGGGCAUAAAGGAAAUUACCUCUACUACCAGAUUAUAGUGAUAAGGAAAACAGCACACAGUUUUGGCUUGUGUAUUCAUUUGCCUAUAAAUAAUCAGAAUUCCAUUAUGUUUACAUAAAAGAGAAUACUUCAAAAUGAGAAGAUCCUGCCAUGGAAAAGACGACUGGUUGGACAUAAAGUGUAAAGGAGGGGAAAUAACUCCCACCAUGCAGCAGGACACCUUCAGCUGUGGGGUCUUUGUAAUGCAGAUGGCCAAGGAAGUUGCCCAACGUCCCCUCCCAAAUGGAUAUAGAACCUUCACUAAAACACAUGCAGCAACUGCAAAAAGAAAUGGCUGAGGAUUUACUAAAAAUGUCUGGUAUGUAAUGACAUUUAAUUCAAAGUAAAUGUCAAUUCUUUAUUUUUAUGCAGUUGUGUGGGACAGCCAUAUGUUCAGUUCAUGCCUAUGAGUUCAACAAAGCCAACAACUGCUUCAUGUGUGCCACUGAUAAAGAACCUGAAUGCAGCCCAAAGACUGAAUGGGUUAGUAACUUUAUUUAACCUGUUUAUAAUCUUUUGACAACAGAGACGGCAUGUCAGACAAUUUAUGAUAUAACACAAUGGAUGGCUAAUUUGUAAUACUGCAUUGAUAUUUGCUAUUAUAUAUAACAUGUUAGGCUUUGUUUUGAUUGAAUGUUUUGCAUGCCAACGGUGGUUCCAUGUGCUGUGUCUAGGAAUGAAAACAAAAGAGUUCAACAGAGUAAAGAACACAAACUGGAAGUGCUGUCUUUGUUGUUGAAAAUGUAUGCUAUUCCCCAUCCACACUGAAGAAGCUCUGAAAUGUACAUCAACCAGGGAUAAAGAGAAAGUUAACACUGUGUAAUGUACAUCAACCAGGGAUAAAGAGAAAGUUAACACUGUGAAAUGUUUUGUACUUAUUUGAAGUGUCUGUUGACAUGUUG